rnacentral:tRNA from 1 species
UCCCGUGUAGCUCAGUUGGUAGAGCAUGGUGUUUGUAAUGCCAGAGUUGAGGGUUAGAUUCCCACGGGGG